UGAAAAAAACAAAAUUUCUACUCUAAUCGAUCUAAAAUAAUUAGGGAAUUCUAGGGAAUUCGUUGUUUCUAUUUGGGAAACUACUAUAGGCCGAUAAUGAAUUAUUAAUGAUGAAUAAAAAUAAAAGGGAUAAGUCACGUGACGGCACCACUGAGAUAUCACCCCCCUUCCUGACGCAUUUCGUUUUGGAGCAAACGAGACUCCAUUUUGGAGCAAGAGUUGUUUAAAUUGUUUUCUAAUUACGGUGAGAGUAACAUUAAUUGUAAAUAUCCAUCGCAGAUCAAAACUAUAUCAAACUGUCUCCCCAUUUAGUUCCGAUUAAAUUAAUUAUUCAUGGCGGAUGACACAGCGAAGCAUACAAUGCUCAUCAACAAAAAGAGGAAUUGUCCUUUUCCUUGGAAGAGGAAUUACUCCAUUUCGUUGACAAUGUAAUGAGUCAUGCUCGUUGAUAUUAAGGAGAAAUUGCGUAGUACCUCGAGGCUAUUCUAUCCAACGUGGCAUAUUAAGAAGAGAAUUGGGUCAUAACCUAAUCAGAAGAUGUUGCAGUUAACGAGCAAAGGAUUUUCUAUGAAUCCCAGGAAUAUGCAUUUCCUUAGAUUGCUUGUUCUAUUCAUCAUCAUCGUGAUUGGCUUUGGAGUGCAUAAAUCAAUAUUUCCAUCAUAUUUCACUCUGAAGCCCGUAAUCUUACUUUCUGGAACGAAGGAGGCAUACAACAUUAAAAACCAUAGUUCAAAGGCUCCAAUGAAAAUGACGGCAAUUUUUUUUUAUCACUCCUAGGAGUCUGCGAUUGAAUGUCAUCAACAUUUUGAAUGAGCAAUAAUUCCAAACGUUGAAAUACAAUAAUGGCGAAUUUGAAUGUGAAUUUCACACUAGCACAUAAUCCUGACACAUCUUUAUCAAUGGAACCUCGUUCAUUCACUGGCUACAUAAGAUGUUCUCUUGAUGUGGACUACAUGAGCGGGAGAGCAAUAUAUUAUUGCAUAUUUUGCACAGCUUUGACUCAAUUUUAUAACUUUGCAAUAUUCGGACAAGAUCUUGAAUCAGAUAUUGAAUCAUCACUGAGUGGACGUAGGUUGAUGCAUAUAGCAAAUGCUGUCCCGGAUACAAGGAAUCGGAUGAGAAAUAUGAUUCGCGAUUGGGAAGAGGGAUAUAUACAUCCUUUUGAAUGGCGUGUAUACAAUAUGUCACAAAUAACGUUCUACGACCACAUAGGAUCUUUCAUUGGUGAAAUAUUGAAAUUGGAAAGUGAAGAAGAUUGAAGAGAUAAAGUAACCAUUUCUUGGCCGACACUGCAUAAAAUCAACUACGAUAUUGAAGUGACCAAAAUCUGAAAAUUAAUAUGAUAAAGGAAAUUCUAUUCGAUAAUAAGAAACAUCAGCAAUCGGUUUGAAAUAAGAAUUAUUUCAAAGUCGUUCAUUUUUGGUUGAUGAUUAAUGAUUUUUGGAUGCAAGAAGCAAUUCGAAUUUUGAAAGAAAAAGGAAUAACAGCGAUAACUUAGAGUUGAAUCACCUACCCCAUAAAUUACUUAAUUUCAAAAAUAUUUUCAUUUUAUUAUUAUCGAUAGAAUUUGCUGCAAAUAUCUCUAAAAUGGCCAUAAUCUGCCUUCAGCCAAAAAUUGAAAUUUUGGAUACAAAACAUAUAGUUACUGAGAGAACAGAAUGUAAAGUAAGCAGAAUACGGAUGUAAGUAAUGAAAGAUAAAUAUUUUUUAAUUAUCGAGAAUCGUAGUGAUGACAAAAAGAGCAAAUUAUAAUGAUGAAUGUUUGCAGUGAUAUAAUUUUUUUUACGCUUUUCCUCAUUAUUUUAUUCGAAUAAUCGAAAUUACGCCCAUAUUGUUGCCACAUACGACCUUUGCGGCGAGGGGAUUGGACCGAAACAGAAAUAGUAGCAAGCGUCAACGCUUCAGUUAACUAUGAACUACCCCACUAUUGAACACAUUCACACUGAGACAUACAGAUACAGACACAAGCAGUGAAAGAGUUCCUUUGAAUCUCAGAAAGCAGCUCAGCGAGGCUAUUCUUUUUGAGUUGUGCAUUCGAUUUGUAUAUGACCCGUAGUACCUAUGAGUGUGCAGGUACUGCGUUCAAGCCCCCACCACCUCAUUUAUCACUCGGCUGCUACGUACCGCAGUAUAAAAACCGAUGUUACAACAUGAAGGGUCCAGCGGAUUAUGCUGGGACCCGCGCCGAGCAACGCGUUUCAACUGCACUGAACGUGAGGCGCAAUUCCCAUUGAUAUGGGACAUAAAAUGAUGAAAUUUGCUCAUGUUAAACUCCAAAUUUUCAAUCAUGUCGGCAUCGUGGAAAUAAACGGAAGGUCAUCGGUGGGGGUGAAACCAAUGAAGGUUUUAUCAGACCUGUAACUGACCGAGGAAAUCUCGUUACUAUCUGCAAAAACAUUCUCUACAUUGCCUUGUACGCAAACAUUCCAUUUUAUCACGCUCUUUGAGCUCAUUAUCAAUUUUUAUCCAACGUUUCUAUGAACAUGAUUUGUCUUUGGAGUGUUGUAUCAUUGCCUUCUGAAAUCGUAGACCAAUCCCUCAUCGUCGCAGCGACUUUUUACUUGGAAUAUUGUUUGUGGCAAAUUGUGAGGGCUGAUCUAUCUGGGUGUAUGUGAUAGUCCAGUAACUAACCGAACUAUUCUCUGAUGAUUAUUUUGGGUUUUGUUCGAGAUAAUGAAUGUUUUACUUAUUAUCGUACGAAAUGGCACUCGGCAGCUCUCAGUGACAUUAUUAUUGUUGUUCAUCAUAUAAUAGUAUACCAUUAUUAUCAUUGAAAGUUCAUUUGGCAGAUUUCAUCGUCAUAUUUUGUUUCAGGUAUUUAUGGUACGGAAUCUUAGGAUUGCUGAAAAAUCGACAACUACCACCUUUGUAUGUACUUAUGUGCAUUCGUGAAUUUGAAAUUCGAAGAAAACCCGAUAAAGUAGACGAACCUCAGACAGGAAUUGAAAAUUAAUAAUAAACAACAAUGAAUAUUGCGUACGACAGGGGAAGAAUAAAAAAAAAA